UAAUAUCUCCAGUCUUUUACAUGUUAUGACAGUCUUUAACGUUAGAUGUGAGAUGAUUGUCUUUAAAUUGAGAUAGUGUCAGACUUAAGCAUUUUCCAAG